rnacentral:rRNA from 1 species
AUUGAACGCUGGCGGCAGGCCUAACACAUGCAAGUCGAACGAGUGGCGGACGGGUGAGUAAUGUCUGGGAAACUGCCCGAUGGAGGGGGAUAACUACUGGAAACGGUAGCUAAUACCGCAUACCAUCGGAUGUGCCCAGAUGGGGUUAGCUAGUAGGUGGGGUAACGGCUCACCUAGGCGACGAUCCCUAGCUGGUCUGAGAGGAUGACCAGCCCCACUGGAUCGGAGACACGGACCAGACUCCACCGGGAGGCAGCAGUGGGGAAUAUUGCCCAAUGGUCGCAAGCCUGAUGCAGCCAUGCCGCGUGUAUGAAGAAGGCCUUCGGGUUGUAAUGUACUUUCAGCGAGGAGGCGUUACUCGCAGAAGAAGCACCGGCUAACUCCGUGCCAGCAGCCGCGGUAAUAC